rnacentral:rRNA from 1 species
UACGAAGGGUGCAAGCGUUGUUCGGAUUUAUUGGGCGUAAAGCGCAUGUAGGCGGAUGAUCAAGUCAGGUGUGAAAUCUCGAAGCUCAACUUCGAAACUGCGCCCGAAACUGUUUAUCUAGAAUCUUGGAGAGGAAAGGGGAAUUUCUCAUGUAGGGGUAAAAUCCGUAGAGAUGAGAAGGAACAUCAGAGGCGAAGGCGCCUUUCUGGCCAAAGAUUGACGCUGAGGUGCGAAAGCGUGGGGAGCAAACAGG